GACGAACGCUGGCGGCGUGCCUAAUACAUGCAAGUCGAGCGCUCAAGGGAGGUACUUGUUCCUACUGCGUGAGCGGCGAACGGGUGAGUAACGCGUGGGGAACCUGCCUAUGAGACGGGGAUAACUUUGGGAAACGAGUGCUAAUACCGCAUAACAUCUUUAAACACAUGGUUUAACAUUGAAAGAUGCUAUUGCUUUAAUCAAAGAAGAUAUCGCGUCGUAUUUACUUGGUUGGGAGGUAAAGGGCCUACAAAGCGAUGGUACAGAGCCGACCUUAGGGGGGUGACGGCCCCAUCUGGACUGGGACACGGCCCAAACCCCCACGGGGAGCAGCAAUAGGGAAUCUUCGGCAAUGGACGGAAGUCUGACCGGGCAACGCCGCGUGAGUGAAGAAGGUUUUCGGAUCGUAAAACUCUGUUGGUAGGGAAAAACGUAAUGUGUAGUGGAAUACUCAUCAAGUGACGGUAACUACCCAGAAAGGGACGGCUAACUACGUG
rnacentral:rRNA from 1 species